ACAUCGAGCUAGGGGAGCCUUUUGGCUGAGAAGGUUUAAAAACCUGACCCUUUGAACCUGAUAUGGUUAGAACCAUCGUAGGAAAGCUUAUAUUUAGUUUA
rnacentral:ncRNA from 2 species